rfam:Peniophora sp. CONT PENSPscaffold_74_Cont123, whole genome shotgun sequence.
GGCGAGAUGGCCGAGCGGUCUAAGGCGCCAGACUAAGGCGAGAGUGGGAUUCGAACCCACUCUUUCAAAAUCUGGUCCGAAAGGGCGUGGGUUCGAAUCCCACUCUCGUCA